GGGGGGGGGGGGAAGGACGUCACUAGCAAGGCAUCCAGGUGGGGCUGCAACGAGCAGUAGAAGACGGUGGCAGAUCUCGAUCUCGUCGUGGAGAUGAAGAAGGCCGGGGUCUUCGCCGCCUCUGUAGCUGCCGCCUCUUCCGCCGCUCUCGCCGCCGGCGACCACGCCACCAACUUCCCCUUCCCCUCGUCCUCCUCCAAUGAGGGAUCGGGAUCGGGAACGUCGAAGAAGAAGGACACCGCCGCUGGAUCGGGGUCGAGAAGGGGAGGGGACGACAAAUUCGCCCCGAGGUUCGACGGGCUCAGGUUCAUCGAGACGCUGGUGACGGCUCAUCGGUGACUCUAUGAAGAACACCACCACCACCACCACCACCACCAUCAUCACCAGUUCUCUUUGCUUCCGCCGCCGACAGGUGACCCUACGAAUUGUUUGCUAAUCUUAAAUUUCAUGAUUUAACUAUUAAAUGGUUUAAAGGAGCCCGAGAGUAGUUUGAAAAGGGGGCAAGGAGAAGGGAAGGACAAGAUUAAUGACUACUAUAUUAAAGUCUUUCGGAAAAGAAAGCUUCAGAAAUUAGAAAAAAAGAAAAGGUAACUGUGAGCUAGUAAAAUAUAAUUAGAUUCAUUGAUAUGUAUUAUUUUGAACUUAAAUGUAGAUUUGAGCUCCAUUUAUAAAUAAUUCUGUGUAUCAAUAUUGCAUUCUUAA